rnacentral:misc_RNA from 1 species
ACCUGUUCGAGCGUCAUUACUCCUCUCAAAUUUAGCUAUUUGAUGUUGGGCAGUGCCUAACGUAGGCAUGCCUGAAAUUCAGUGACGGUUGCAAGUCCGACCUAGGCGUACAAGUAUCGCGAUAGGGACGAAUUGGGAUCAGUCUUAACUAAAUUUUACAUGUUGACCUCGGAUCAGGUAGGGAUACCCGCUGAACUUAA